GACGAACGCGGCGGCGUGCCUAAUACUGCAAGUCGAGCGGACUUCAUCCUUCGGGGUGAGGUAGCGGCGGACGGGUGAGUAACAGUAGGCAACCUGCCCUCGAGACUGGGAUAACCUCCGGAAACGGAUGCUAAUACCAGAUACGCGGUCUUCCCACCUGGGGAGAUCGGGAAAGACGGAGCAAUCUGUUACUCGGGGAUGGGCCUGCGGCGCAUUAGCUAGUUGGUGAGGUAACGGCUCACCAAGGCGACGAUGCGUAGCCGACCUGAGAGGGUGAUCGGCCACACUGGGACUGAGACACGGCCCAGACUCCUACGGGAGGCAGCAGUAGGGAAUCUUCCGCAAUGGACGAAAGUCUGACGGAGCAACGCCGCGUGAGUGAGGAAGGCCCUCGGGUCGUAAAGCUCUGUUGCCAGGGAAGAACGCUUGGGAGAGUAACUGCUCUCAAGGUGACGGACCUGAGAAGAAAGCCCG
rnacentral:rRNA from 1 species